AGGAAAUGGAGCCAGAAUCCACAGAUGUCAUUAUCCAUCUGCACACGUUUGUUUACUACCCAGAAGGCAAGAUUGCAUUUUAAAGUCUUGGAUGGUUAUUCUUUUUCAUCACAAGUGAUUCCAGAAGCUCUGACCAUUCACAGUGACCCUGGCGGGAAGUGUCUGUCAGAGCCUUGUUUCCUGGAGUGCUUUGAGAUUCUCCUACAAAAGGCAUUUUCCAAGCUCAGAGUGGAAAAACAUCAUUUAUAUUCAUUCGCUCUCUGUGGCAUUUCUCCCUGGGAUCUUCCUCUUGUCUGUCAACAUUGGGAGAGGGCCACUGACCUCAUCUACAUUACAAAUGGCCUCCUUUUAACGGGAGUGACUUACAGGAGAGUCACCAGAAAGAGGGGAGGACUCCCUAAGGCAUCAUUUAGAAUAUAACAAUUCUGGGUGGCUGCCAGUCUAAACCGCUCUACCCUCUCCCAGGACUGUGUUCAGAGUAGAGACAUUUCUACCAAGAUGGCUACAUGACCUGAACAAACUCUUCUUUAAGGAGGUUGAUGCCCUGCUCAGUGUGACUUAAAGGACAUUAGAGGGAC
rnacentral:lncRNA from 1 species